UUCUUUGUUUUUUUCUUCUUAUACCUCCGUAGUUUAUUAUUUUUAGAUUAAUAUGAUAAAAUAACUAGAUUAUCAAUUAGUCUACAUAUUUAUACAUUAGACCCUAACCCGUAGCUAUUUUUUCUUCCGUAAAACAGCUUGGCCCUGAUUUUUUUAAAUAGCCAUAACUUUUUACUCGUUUGUCCAAAUCCAACGAAACUAACGCCCACUUCUUCGUUAUGAUCUCCUCUAUCCAUUAAUCCAACUCAAACAUGUUUUUGAAAAGUUUAAAAUUUAAAUUAGAUCAGAUUUGAAUUCAAACUUCGUUUGAUCAUAACUUGAGUUUCGUAGCUCCGUUUGAGUUGAUUCCUUUUGCAAAUCGAAGCUCUUGACCUAAACUUUCUGAUAAGGCCAAAUUCAUAUAAUUUUGGUACUGUUAGAAAUUGUUUUAUGUUGCAAGAGUUAUUUGCUUGGUUUUGAUGUUUUCCGAAUUGUCUUCUUCGAUCUUUCUGAUACUUUGAGUGAUUGCUUAUGUGUGGUUACUAUUGCUUGCUUACGAUAGAUUGACCGGAGUGUGACGAGUAGAACUAUCAAGAGUUUUGAGUGCGAAUCAUCUUCAUCAAUAUUGCAGGCAAGUUCGCACUUUGAUCAUAUCCCCUUUCAUACCCAGUUUUUAUGCAUUAGUUUCACCCUCAAACAUUGCAUGAGUAGGAUUGAUAACAUGUGGGUAUUGGGAAGUAGUUGAUGAGGUAGGAACCUAUUGCCCUGCAUUCAAACCUUGGGAGUUACUAUUACGUUAUGCUUAUAGUGCCAUGCUAUGCUCAUAGACGUGGAUUGGGUUUUGAGAGUAUUCAUGACAGAUGUGAGUUUGUUAUUAAUAGUUUACUUAAGGUGGCAACUUAAACACACAUCUGGGUGGAUUGAGGUACCUGGGUAUUCCAGGAUUGCCUGUCUAGGCACCUGGGUUGACUAGGAUUGCCUGUUUUUUUUAUGGACCGCCACCUAGGCUCAAAGGGAUCAUGAGAUUUUUCAUAGUAAAAACUUCCGUGUGCAGCCACAAGCUAUUAUGGGCUCUAGCAUAGUUGAUUAAGACGUGCGGACUCUUACAGGGUAGACUAGCAGAUGUAGGGAAAAGUGGGUGUAACGGUCUAUCCAUCGUAAGGUGCUAGCGCUUCUAAAAGACUAUGCCUCGGUCAUCCGUCUUCUCAAACACCAUGUAGUGCGAGAAACCAAACGGAGGCAAUCGAGUCUUGUGGGGAAAAGUGCGCAAACCUCUGCAGAGUGUAUAAACUAAUCAUGAUUAGCCGUGUCCCGGUUAUGGACAUCUUGAGUAUCUAGUACCUGAUUAUCAUGUGAAUCUCAUCAUGUUACUUUAAAUUAAUUUUGUUGGGUUUAAUGAUGUUACUUAAUUGGGAUUGAGAAUGCUGUCAACCAUUCUCAAUGUUCAACAACCACCAUGAUAGUUAAAUAAAACUUAUUCCUUUGUAGUAGGGAAAAAUUGGCUUUUCGCAAAAACAUAUAACCAUAGAGCUUUUCCACCAGCCAUAUAUGCAUGUAGUGACAGCCAUUGUUCAUCAUUCUCUAUGGUGUGAAUUUGCCAGUACAUUCAAUGUACUGACCCUCUGUGGCCGCAACGUCUCAUGUUGCAGGAUAUCUUACAACGAGUAAGUGAUACGUUAGGGUUACGAUUUCUACACUCAACUUUGCCGUUGGUGUUGAUGGGAAUCCACAACCUUGUUACUUCCGCUAUUUGUAUUGAGGUAAUAGUAUUUAUGUUACUUAUACAUGUGAUUUACCUCUGUUAUAAAUCCUCGAGUAAUGUGUGUGUCAGCAUACCGAUCCAGGGAUGACACUUAAGCACAGAGACUUGAUCCAUUCGGGUCGGGUCGCUACAAGAUGGUAUCAGAGCACGUGUUGACUGUAGGACGUGACCCCUAGAAACUGGCAAGCCCAUAGGAAAUAUUUUCUCUACAACUUUCUUUUCAAAAGGAUCUUUUACCUCUCUUCUCUUCUGAGCUUAUUCAAAUAUUCCCUUUUAGUUAGACCAUACCCCUUUCCCCUUUUGACCAGACGAGGAUUUGACUGAUGAGACCACUCUAAGAAGUACAAGAUAUUGGACAACUAAGACCGCUACGGAAUGAAGAGGGUUUUAUUGUGCAUCUGAAUAAUGGAAACUACAACACUUGAAGACUCCGAAGACUAGGCGAAUUUGAAGGCUCUGAAGAAUCCCUAGAUUUGUAUGACCUAGGAAGGCUACCCUUAUGGAACUUGACAGAUUAUGGAAGUUGUCAAUGCCCGAGAUCAAGGUGUGUUGGAGAAAGACUGGAACAUGGAGCAUAGGACUCAAGGUUUUAUCAAGAAACCCUAAGGCAGGAGAUAUCAACUGUGGAGAGAUAGCUCAUGGAAAUGACAAGAGCAGAAACACGGUUAUCCGUGAUGUCAUCACCCGCUAAUGCUAUUGUCACCGUGCUGAGUUAAGGAUACAUGUCUUUAGAAUAGAUUUGAUGGAAGAAGGCUGAUGGAGCACCUAUCAUAAGAUGAAGUUUUAGCCCUAGCCGAUGUAUCACCAGGAUCUGGAGUAGUACAUCAAGAAGUUUAAAAUGGAGCUCCAGGAAGUCGUAUUAGACAAGGAAGUAUUUCAUGAGGAACUCAGGGCCCUGGAGAUGAGAGUAGCCAAGCUGGAGGAGCUACAACCUUGAGAUACCGGAGAUUUGUCAGGAACUGAAGGACAUUAGGACCAUGGCUCAUGCCAAGGAUGUUGAAACCCAGAAGUUUGGAACGCAACUCCAGAAUAUUAAAGGACGUCAUGAGAGACUUCACGUCAAUAGAGAUGAUCUGGCAAAAGAACUGGAAAAGGACAAGCAUGAUUGGAAGAAGCCAUUGGAGGCAUGAAACAAGACUUGAUGGGUUUGAUGUCUUUGAAGAUUUAUUAACCUUUAGAAGACCAAACCCCUGUUAUAUACCUACGUUAGAUGCGACGUUUGUGAGCUGUCAUUUGUUUGAUAUUUUUCUGACAGCCACAGAUGAAAUCUGUCUUUUCAAAACCAUUGUUUGUAUUGUGUGUAUCCCUCUCUAUCUCUCUUAUAUCACCCCAAAACCCUUGGACCCAAUAGAGGAUGAAUGGAGAUGAGCUUGUAUUUUCUGGACCGAUGGAUUCAGAACAUGGAAGAUCACAUGGAGAAUAACCCUAUAGUUGGACAUGAUAUGACCCAGCAUGCUCUUUAGUGCUUUGAAAGAGGUGCUACUACUUGGUGGAGGAUGUACCAAACCAUCAAUGGAUGGCAAGGAGUAACCACUUGGAAAGAAUUUAAGUUGACUCUGCCAAAGUCUCGGCUUGUGCCCCAGAAGUUGAAGCCUUAUGGAAAGGAUAUGAAGAAACCUUGUGCCUGCAAGAUUUGUGGAGAAAUAGGACACACCCAUAAAGAACACAAGGAUGAAUGCCCUAAUUGUGAAGGAAGUCACCCAGUUGAAGAAUGUCCAACUAGGCAGAUUACUUGUUUCUUGUGUGAAGGGACUACCCACUAUCCUGCUCAGUUUCACAUUUACCCCAUGGUACAAUGAACCAUCCAACAGAAGAAAGAAGUAAUGAAAGGAGCCCUCAUGGAAAUUUUAGAAGAAACUUUGAUGAAGGAAAAGGUGGGGGACACACCCAAAGAAGAACCAAUUAAACCCUGCACCAAGUCAUGCUAUUCAUGUGGAGAAGAAGGACACAUCUCCCAAAAUUGUUUGAAUGGGGAUCUAGUAGAAUUCCCGACAGAGGAAGUAGAAUAUGACCACAAGAAAUAGAAGCCAUGAUUGGCAUGGAAAGGUCCAGGAAGAGAAGCAGAUUGGAUUCCUGGAAGGACCUGAGUCAUAUCACCUGUUACAGGUGCAAGGAGUCAGGGCACUACCUCAACAAUUGCCCAAAAAGGAAACCUCGAUACUUGUCAGAAGUAAUAUGUUUUAGUUGUAAUGGAGCAGGGCACUUUGCCAGAGAAUGCCCCAAGGAGAAGGAAACUUGUGCUAGAUAGUUGAGUUUGCAGAGUAGUAGAAGUGAGAACAUUUUAUUUUAUAUUAAGGUGUUGAGUUGAGACAUGUAAUGGAAAAGCGAGAGAUUGUAAUCACUUGAGAAUGAAUAAAGUUAGCAUCGUUGGUACUGAUAUGGAUCUUAUGAGGUGUUACUCUAUGAAGAAGAAUUUUGGCCAUUCUGAGGAUAUGAGAAAUAUGGUCUAUGGAAGAUUUGUGCAUUUUAAGGGUGGUAGUACCCUAUAAGAACCGUUGACCCCUGGAAAAGAUAAGGAUACUCCAGUGAGUGGAUUUCGGAUAAAAUGAAUACGAGUUUUGUCUCGAUAUGUGUGAUACCCCAAGAGUGUGUGGGAUGAAGUUGGAGACCGUCAGUUGUUUGGACCAAAUGUGAUCAAGGAGUUAGAAGACAAUGUUAAGUUGAUUCGAGAUAGACUGAAGGUAGCUCAGUCCAGGCAGAAGAGUUAUGUAGACUCAAAAACUCAAGGAGGUAGUCUAUGAAAUUCGAGACAGAGCAUGUCUUCGUGUGUCCCCUCUGCGAGGAGUUAAAUGAUUUGGAGUUAAGGAAAGUUAGCCCCGAGAUUUGCAGGACCAUACCGAGUUUUGGAGCAUAUGGGAGAAGUGGCCAACAAGUUGGAGUCACCCGAAGGACUGUCAGGAUUUCAUGAUGUGUUUCACGUUUCCCAGUUGAAGAAGUGCCAUGAAGAGAUGGCCAAUAUUCCCCUGUAAGGACGCUUGACCCUAGAAAGGAUAAUGAUGUUCCAUGAAGUGGAGUAUGGACUCCAUAAGUAUAAGUUUAUAUCUCGGUAUGUGGGAUAACCCACGAGGAUGAAGAGAUGAAUUACUAUUGGAUAUAAAGGAGGUAUGAUGUUGGUAUUAUGGAAUGAUUAUAACUCCAUGAUGAGUUUGAGUAAUCACGUCUUAGUCUUGUACAAAUAGAAGGAAGGAAGACAGUACAAUUGGAUGGAUUUAAGAAUACUAGGAAGUUGGAAGUUGGAAUAAUGAUCAGUUGCCCGAUGAUAAGUUCAAAGGACUACAAGUGAUGAGAUGGGACAUAACCCACAGGCCCCAGGACCUGCCAAGAAGCAAGCACAUUCUUGCUGAAGGAAAAACCCUGAAAGAAGUUACGAUUUUAUCGACAGACGAUCUUAUAGGAGUUACGCAAAACCUGAGAGUUGUGAAGGAACGAUAGAUGGUUGUUUGGCUUGCAGAAUCUAUGGAUUUAUCCGAACUUGGUUCGUCGACAAGAGAAAUUCUGCAAUGCUUGUGAGGAUGACCGAGUGUUAGAAUGCGAGAUUCACUAAAGCAUAUACAGGGUAAUGAUUUGGGUGCGGGAUGGACUGAUCAGCAUACCAACUUACUCUUAUUAUUCGCCUUGCUAUAUGGGAUGGUAAAUCUGAGUGACUUACCUAUAGUAGAGAGACGACGAUCAAAAUCCUGUUUAAACCUUAGAAUGGUAUAGCAAUUUUCCCUUGUAUAAGGCAGCUUUUGCCAACCGUAGGUUAUACGGUGAGGAUCAACCCAGACCCAUUUCCUACAGGACAAACCAUAAAUUGUUGACCACCAUGAGAUAUCAAUUAGUUGUUUAGUACUGGCGCCAGACCCGUCAGGUAAGAAGACCCAGUCUCAGAAUAACCUUACCAAGAUGAAAGGACAAAAGAAUUGAGGAAAAGGUUAUGCUGUUACCGGAAGAGCCCAGAGAAAGGAAUUAUACUGAAGAUCUGAGAAGACCGGCCCUGUCAAGAAUAAGGAUGGAGUAUAUGAGUAUUGAUGGGACCGUAACAGUCUUUCUAAGGGUGGUAGCACCCGAGACCCCGGAGACGAUCGAUGGAUUUUGAGAAGACCCCGAACCUAACCUAUUUCUUUCUAGCCUCUCCAAAUCUCGAGGACGAGAUUCCUUUUAAGGGUGGUAGAUUUGUAACAUCCCAAAAUUAUAAAUUUUGGAAUGUUAUAUUAAAUAGAUAGAUUUGAUUGAUUGUUUGAUUUGUUGACUGAAAGUGAGUGAAUUCGAACUUUUUGAAAGUUAAAUGAGAGGGAAUAAAAGGACUUUCCCAAACUUUCAUUUUUGCAUUUAUGAUCUCCGUGAAUUCAAAUUCUUUUCACCACAAAACCCUGGAGAGAAGAUGACAUGACUUCUUCCAUUUAUUUAAAUGAAAAGGGUUUCGAAAAGAUUUGAAUUUCAUUCGGAAAUAUUUCCAAUUCAUAAACUUCAUGCAACUCGAUGAUUUUCACGAGAGAAGAUAAUAUGACUUCUUUAAAAUAUAUGAAAUAUGGGUUGGAAGUUUUAAAAGAAUUAAAUUCAAAGUCCUUUUGAAAUUAUUUUCAAUUUGAAGUUAUUCGAGUUUUAUUCAAAUUAUUUUUCUCCAAAAAUAAAAUAUAUGGAAAAUAGGGUAACAUGAUUCCCUACAACAGAAAAUUGGAGAGAAAUAAAUUUGAUUUCAUUUUGGUAUUUUUAAAAUGAUUUUUGUUGGAUCUUAUUAGAGCAGGAGCACUGUUGGAAUUAUUAGAAUUUGUGUGUAUUUUACUUAAUGCUAGAAAAAUGUUCAUGUCAUAGAAAAUCUUUUUCUGAAAAUUGUUAUAUAUAAAAUGCCUAUAUAAAAUUUAUAUUUUACUUUUGUUAUUCAGUUUUCCCUUCUGUUUCUAUUUAAAAAAAAUGUACGUGCGACCCAUAUUUAUUUAUCGCCUACAUGCGCAAUAUAGUAGCUUUUGGCGCCCCAUUGUUUUUUCUCUCUUAAUAGGCCAGGCCCUGCCAGCCUUUUUUUUCUUUUUUUUUCUCUUAGGCCGAAUCUUGUAAAAAAACUGCACCACAGCGUGCGCGCGGCUGGCCGAAGGCCUUUAGGCCCAUCCGCCUCUUUUUUUUCUCUGUUUCGUAUAUUUUCGUCUACGUUUAGUCCCACAUUGCCUAGCCUUUGACCCCUAAUCCUCUUUUUCACCAAUAAAUAUAGACCCAUAGAGCCUCUAAAAAUUAUCCGAUUCGGGUUAAAUCAAUAUUUUGGUUUGACUAGAUUCAUUUAAGAAAAAUAUAUUUCUCCUCUCCGGUGCGACUUUUGGAAAUUUUCUCUUCUCUCCAAAGUCAUAUUUUCUCUGCCUUAUAAAGGUAUCUUUCUUUGUUUUUUUUCUUCUCAUACCUCCGUAGUUUAUUAUUUUUAGACUAAUACGAUAAAAUAAUUAGAUUAUCAAUUAGUCUACGUAUUUAUACAUUAGACCCUAGCCCGUAGCUAUUUUUUCUUUCGUAAAACAGCUUGGCCCUGAUUUUUUAAAUAGCCAUAACUUUUUACUCGUUUGUCCAAAUCCAACGAAACCAACACCCAC
rnacentral:lncRNA from 1 species